GAUAAACGCUGGCGGCGUGCAUGAGACAUGCAAGUCGAACGAACGAGCUUGCUCGUUAGUGGCGGACGGCUGAGUAACGCGUAGGUGACCUGCCCCGAAGUGGGGGAUAACUGCCCGAAAGGGUGGCUAAUACCGCAUGUGGCGACACUUUCAUUGGUGUCAUCAAAGCCGCGAGGCGCUUCGGGAGGGGCCUGCGUCCGAUUAGCUCGUUGGUGGGGUAAUGGCUCACCAAGGCGACGAUCGGUAGGUGGUCUGAGAGGACGAUCACCCAGACUGGGACUGAGACACGGCCCAGACUCCUACGGGAGGCAGCAGUCGGGAAUUUUGCUCAAUGGGCGCAAGCCUGACGCAGCAACGCCGCGUGCGGGAUGAAGGCCUUCGGGUUGUAAACCGCUUUUAUCAGGGACGAUGAUGACGGUACCUGAUGAAUAAGUCACGGCUAACUACGUGCCAGCCGCCGCCGUAAUAC
rnacentral:rRNA from 1 species